CACACACACACGCACAUACACACACUUCCUGGCUGCCAGACCUCUCUCUAUCAAGCCUGUGUCCAGACUGAAUCUUGUGUAUGUGUAUUGUCCACGCAUGUGUGUAUUGUCCGUGUGUGUGUGUGUGUGUGUAUGUGUGUACAAUGCCCCGGUGCUAGAGCCUGUGAGCUGAAUACACAGCGUUCUCGGGCCGCGGUGUUGUGAAUGCUAUCGCUCGGCAGCAGCACACUGAAUGCUCGCGGUAUUCCCAGACGGAGCCUCGGCGUUCCGAGGGACAGGAACAACGCCAGCGAUGGAGACUGGAUUCUUUUUCCCACCGGUUCCUCUGACGGGUCACCAGUUCACUUCUGGACCUUAUCGAAGAACAAGCGGCUUUGAGGAGGACGAAAACAAAGAGUCGGGCCGCAUUGUCGCCGCUCACUUCUCUUUGGACGGAAUUUUUAUUUUUUUAUUCUCUUUCACAAAAGCCUGAGGGACGAGGUCCAGAAGCUUCCGCCGCUUUUAUUUAUUUAUUUAUUUUUAUUUUAUUUUAUUUUUGCUCUCAUGGACAGAGUGAAAGUGGAACAUGUUUUCUUCAUGUCCUCAGUUUUAUUUCUCCAUAUUUGUUUUUUCUUUCUUUCUCUCUCUCAGGACACGAUGUAGCGAUGAUGCGAUCGUUUUUCAACAAACCUCACGUCUUCUAACAUCGAAAUCACAGAAGGUUCCAGAUAAAAGAAAGUGAGAGAGUGCAGGAUGACUGACAGCUGGGAGAUGAUGGACAUCUGAGAGAUGACUAUAUCACUCUAAUAUUAAUACGCUCUAUUUAUAUUGAGGCAUGUCAGAGGUCCUGAGCGGCAAAAAAACUAGCCGGAGAACCGCGGGCUCAGCUCGGACGCUGGACUCGCCGCCUCGCCCUGCCGGCCAGAGCCAUCAAUAAUGAAGCCGAGCCGAGGCCACGUGAUGAUCUGCUGAGGAUGAUCAAAACAUGGAAGCAGAGCUCUGAAAGAGCGUAACCUUUCAGAUCUUCAGAUCUUCAGCCACCACCAGCAUACAGGCAUGUAAACGCAUGACCUCCUGAUAAAGAAGGUCACACACAUCUGUCACGUUUAACCAAAGAGCCUUCCUGCCACCUUCUGUCCUCCAUUUUCAUCCAGGUUUUUUACACCAUCUGAUCUGCAUCUGAUCUGAAUUCCUCACUGGACCAGUUUCAGGGUUUGGUUUCUUUUCAUAUCCUCAUCUUUUUAUUUGCCCUCCAUCAGCUUCACCCUCAGCCUGAAAAUCCCAGAGGAGAUCCAAUCAGAGAACCUCAACAAAAGGCGUCUAAUCUAAACCAGAUGUGCAGCUCUGUGUUUAUAAGGUGGCUGAGAAGUUAAACCUCAUCAUAAAAAAGCUGAAAGACUCGUAAAGCACUAAUAAAGAGAGGAAGUUCUCAAUCUUCUCUUUUCCUGGGAUGGAGAGCUACUCUUUUUAAUGAAUGUAAACUGCUUUGGUUUUAUCAGCCCUCGCAUUCAUGACUGCAGAGGAUAAACUCUCUGUUGCAGGGUUCUACACUGGGUUCCUCCAUACAGAAGAACCUUGAAAAUUCCUACAUCUUUUCUAUCUAUUAAACUUAAGGUUCUUCUAAAGUCUUUAGAACUCAGUGUCUAUAGAAAGCAUUACAGCAACAAAAAAAGUUCCAUGUAGGAAGCAGCUUAGAAAUUUAGACCAGUUAACCAUCUGAAGAACCCUUGAGGAACCUGGCUAAGAAAUAUUACCUAGACUUUCAGAACUUUCCUGGUCUGUAAUCUUUCAAAAAAGAAAUAAUCAAAAAGUUUUGGAACUCUUCUGGCUUUUGUGUAGAAUCCCACAACAGAACAUGGUCUAAGCAGGAACCUUUUAGGAACUCAUUAACCAUCUAAAGAACCCUUAAGGAACCACAUUUUUCACAGACAGCACCUGAGAUAACAUAAAACACAUAAAAUUGCAACCUGGAACAACCUAAAGAAAUUUGACAGAACCCUUUAACCAUCCAAAGAACCACCGAGGAACCUUGAGUACAUCCACAUACUGCUAAAUAUUACUGAUACCAUACUGUGGACUGAUCUGGAACAUUAAAAUAAACAAACAAAAGAAAUAAUUUAAGAAAAUGAAGCAGUUGGAUAGAAAGAUUCUUCUACAGGUUGAAGAACAUUUCCAGAAGUUCUAAAAGUUCUCACUAGGAACAUUUGAGGAAGGAAUUCACACAGCUGGUCUGUAGCACGAGAUCACUUUAAUAUAAACAAACUAACAAACAAACAAACAAAUAAAUAUUCCACAAAUCCCAUCUGAACAGGUUUGUUUUCUAAAAUUAAUCCAAUAAUUAAAAUCUUUUUAAUCUAUUUAAAUUUAUAUUUUUAUUUAUAUUUAUAUUUUACAUUUAUAUUUUAUAUUUUAAUUUUACAUUUUUAUUUAAUAUUUUUAUAUUUAUUUAUAUUUGUAUUUAUAUUUUUAUUUUACAUUUGUAUUUUCUAUUUUUAUGUUUAUUUAUUUGACAUGAUGUGGGAUUAGUUGAUGUUAUUUACAGAAGUUGACUGUAAUACCUUCACCUCCACGGCGCGCCGUGAUCCGGAUCCGGCUCGGAUUUUCCAGCUUUCACAUUCACCUGAAGUCCAACACACCUGUUUCCUCUCAGUCUAAUCUCCUCGUCUAAUCUCAGAGUAUUUAAGGAGCCGUGUUUCAGUCGCUUCUUUUCUGAGCGUUAUUUAUUUUCUUGGUUUUCUGUUUCUCUUCUUGAGUUUGCUGUUGAGUUUCUUUCUAUUUUUUUCCUCCAAGUUUUUCUCUGAUGGUUUAGAUUGUAAUUCUAUAUAAAUAAUUUACUUGCACUUAUUUCCACUUACUUUGAAAUUCCUGACAUUUCCAAUGAUGGAAAAAUCAAAAAAGGAAAAAAUUCCCAGACUCCUGGAUGUCUAGGGAUCCCAGACCUCAGACCUCAGUAGAAACUUUUAAAAGGGAAACUUUUUACUGAACAUGAACUGGUUUUAUCAGCUUCCACCUUCAUGACUGUAGAAGAAACAGACUCUGGUACAGGGUUCUACCCUGGGUUCCACAUAGGGUUCAUAUUACAGGGUUCUACACCUGGUUCCUCCAGUAAGAACAGACUGAAGACUUCUUCAGAGUUUUAGUUUAAACCUUGAAAAUUCUUACACCUUUAGAAAAAAAAGUUCUAUCAACUAAACUAAAGGUUCUUCUAAGAUCUUCUCUAAGUAUCUAUAGAAAGUGUUACAGAAACAGAAGAGGUUCCAUCUAGGAAGCAGACCAGUUAACCGUCUAAGGAACCCUUGAGGAACCGGGCUAAGAAAUAUAAGCUAGACUUUCAGAACUUUCCGGCUCUGUAAUUUAUAAAUAAAUAAAUAAACCUCUGUUCAGAUUAGUUUUCUACAAAUAAUCUUUCUCUUUCUAAAUGUAUACAUGAAUAUUUUCUUAAUAUUGCUGUAAAUAUUGUAAUAUUCCUAAACUUUCCAUUUUAUAUCCACCAAAUUAUCAGGACUUUUUGGCCUGAUGUCAGAUUAAUUGCUUUUUGUUUGCAAAAAAAUUAGGGACCCUUUUAAAAAGGUUUGCCAGCCAGCCAAAGAACUCCAUAAGGAACCCGAGAUAGAAGGAAAAGAAAUAUAUAGAGAGGGAGAAUAUUAAUGUAGAACUUUGUGCAUUUGUAGCUUUAAAAUAAACAAACAAACAAAUAAUUAAAAGGUUUGUUUUGAAGAAAUUUCAAAGAGAAAAGCAGGAACUCUUCUCUCCAGACCUCAGAGGUAGAAACUUUACCUGUCUGUAUGGUUAAAAGGGAAAUAUUUUACUUAAAACAAAACAAAAGGCCCUUUUUUCACUCAGGGACUGGCCUGCUGAGAUGGAAAUCACCCAAACGUCCUAAACGUCAUGAUUAAAUUAGUGAAACAGGAGGCGGGAGGCCUGAAGCAGACCUCGAGCACACGCUUAGCCACGGUAAAGAAAUGUCUUCAUCCUGCCCUGGAACCCUGUUUCUGUUGGAAAGUGCUCUGGCUCUUGACACGUACUUGAAUAAAUAUAUUUUUUUUUAUUGUGCUGAAAAUUCAGCCAGAAAAAGCUGAGGAAGUUACAUUCAAUAUUUAACAUCCUGGAGAAGUCCAGAACGAUGCCUAGUGAAAAGAAAAAAUAUAAUAAUCAUUUAAUAUAUUUUAAAUCUCUCUAUCUUCCUGUUGUGGUGUAGAAUCCUGACGUGAACGUAUCCCAGCAUUCCUUUCAUGGCCGUGGUUUUCUUCAUUCUCUAUCAGAGGCAUGUGUUUAUUCAACCCUCAAUUACAGAAAGCCUCAGCCGGCAGGCCUUUAAUUGAUUGCUUUAAUUGAUUGGUUGGGGGGUAACCAUGACUGAAAAGCAGUUUAUCUUAAUCAGUUGAGAGGAAUCUCGGAGUGGGGCAUGAUUUCCUCCAGCUGAUCUCCCCUGUGUGGGUGAAGAAUGACAGAGAGGCUGCUGAAGAGAGAAAUACGCUCUGAAAUACAUGAAAGAGAUUCAUAAUGGGGAUGAGUCGUUUAGAGUGUUAUAUGAUUUCACGGAGGUUUUACACGUGUGGUCACGUGAGUGAGUACUACAGAAUCACACCAGAAAGCACAUCUGUACUACAGAAGGUGAUAAAUUUAACUGUGAAUAAAGGAAUCAUUUGAAAGAGUUGUAUGUGAAAAUAAAUUCAUCGUAGUUGAAGGAAUCGUUUUCAAAGGAAUCACUUAAAGUGAACAAACAAAUAGAACAGUAAAUAAAUCAUGUGAAAGAAAAACAAAUGAAAGUUGUUUUCAUUUAAAUCACAUGUGAAUCUAACUGAUUUGUGUGAAUCAUGUGAAAGAAUCAAAUGUUCAAAAAGGAGUCAUGUGCAAAAAGAAUGAAUGACUUGAAUGAAUCAUUUAAAGAUUCAUCCUGAUGAAUAAACGAAUCAUGUUUGUUACAGGUAUAAUAACUGAAGAAUGUGAAAAUUCUACACAUGAAAAUGAAUUGUAUGUAAAAUAAAUUAAUUAAAUAUUUAAAUCAUUAAUUAAAUAAUGACUAUUGAUGCACAAAUAUCAUGUAACUUUACUGUAAGGCUUUGUGUCGCACAGAUUCUUGGGACAGAAGUUAAAAUACUAACGCUUUGGUGUUGAGAGAGUGACCUGUGUGUGUGUGUGUGUGUGUGUGUGUGUGUGAGAGACACCUCAGUGUCUGUCAUCACAUCUAUGAAACAGUGGCUGUGAAGAAUAUUUAUGUACAAGCUUUCCUCAGCGCUGUGUGUUUUCUUAGUGGUCACACACUUACAGCCUCGGGACAGUCUGAAGGAAAAAAAGAAGCUGCUUAUUUUUCCUACUACUUGCUAAAAGUUUGUGCACCCUCUUCUCUUCAGGUUCUCCACUAGAUGUUAAGGGCCUUGCUCAAGGGCCCUAUGUUGAUAGCUUGACAGUUUGAAGACUUGAACCCCGAUCUUCUGAUCAGUGACCCAGCGCCUUGACCUACUGUCCUUGUGAUCCUGCAAUUUACUAUAGCGUUUACCAUAGAAACAAUAGCAAUAACACAUUAAUCUAAACCAACUGAUCUUCUCUAUCAGAUCAUGAUGAGGGAGGGAUUAGAGGGAGUUAAUUACCACCUUCUGACCAAUCAUGUGAUCACUUAUUUAAAUGUAAUAGUUCCAGAUUUAAAAAAAUAAAGAAAGAAAGAAAAUAUGGAUGUGUGUAUAGCAGUAUUAACAUGACUAAGCUUUAGGAGGAGUGUGUGGAGAUGAGAGAGAGUGUGUGUGUGUGAGUGAGUGUAUUGUAUAAAGUGUUGAUUUCCACGUCCUUGUCUAGUUGAAUAUCAAUGAUUGCUCCAUUACGGCGGCUGGACGUUUCAUCUGCAGUGUAUUUUUUUUCAAUCAGUUUCUCUGAGAUCUCACAUAUAUAUAUAUACACACACACACACACACACACACACCACACCAAACGUUUCCCCCUAUGCCAGCAAUUGAACUAUAACGUGGAGGAGCAUGAUUGACGGACAUUUGACAGGGUCUCUCUUAUGAAUUGUGAAUUGUGAUGUUCUCUCUCUCGGCCACUCUUCUCAGAUAAAUGUUUCAUAAAGGCAGCUUCGAUAUCUCCGUGCCGAAUAACACGUCCGGCAGAUUACAGGAGACGUCACUCAGUCACUUUCACCUUGGGCCACACGUCAGCAUUGGCUCCGUCUGAAAGCACGUGAGCUGCAGAGUAAAAGUGAUGGUGAAGCGUGUUUAAAUAGCUCACGGUGACCGGCGGACGUGACGCUCGUCUAUUAAAGGAUGAAUCCGUAUCAGGUGUGAAGAUGUAAAGUGGGUCACCGCUGUGAUGCUACAGUAAAAAUUCAGCAGCUCGUCAUUAAUUAAUCACACGCUAAUGGAAGAGAAAAAACUCCAGCUCCAGCAGCUUUAUUUCUUAAUUCCUUCCCCGGCUCUGCAGGAUCGCGUGAUCCAGUCAGAAUUACUGAAGAUUAUAAAAAAUGCCUGAUGGUUCUGUUUGAUUCUAUAGUCUACAGUGGGUCCGGACGCAGAAAAUGAACCGAAAUGCAACUACAAACAUGGCGACAAACGUAUAAACAUGAAGUGUAUUAGCUUUUGUUUUCAUGUUUCUGAAAUGCGCUGUUUUUGACUUUGAGGUCAUGUUUCUCUAAUUCAUCCAUCCAUCCAUUUUCUAUACCAUCUUUAUUCCUAAUUAGGGUCUCGGGGAUCUGCUGGAGCCUAUCCCAGCACACACUGGGUGAAAGGCAGGGGUACACCCUGGACAGGUCACCAGUCCAUCACAGGGUCACACAUAUAGAAAGACAACCACACACACUCACUACUAUGGACAAUUUAGAAUUACCAAUAAACCUAAUGUACAUGUUUUUGGACUGGGGGAGGAAACCGGAGUACCCGGAGUAAACCCACGCAGGCUCGGGGAGAACAUGCAAACUCCACACAGAAAGGACCCGCCUGUUCAAACCCGGGACCUUCUUGCUGUGAGGCAACAGUGCUAACCACUAAACCACCGUGUUUCCCUGGUCUAAUUCAGUUCAAUUCAAUUUAUUUU